AUUGAACGCUGGCGGCAGGCCUAACACAUGCAAGUAGAACGAGUGGCGGACGGGUGAGUAAUGUCUGGGAAACUGCCUGAUGGAGGGGGAUAACUACUGGAAACGGUAGCUAAUACCGCAUACCAUCAGAUGUGCCCAGAUGGGAUUAGCUAGUUGGUGGGGUAACGGCUCAACAAGGCGACGAUCCAUAGCUGGUCUGAGAGGAGGACCGGCCACACUGGAACGGGGACACGGUCCAACCUCCUACGGUGUGCAGCAGUGGGGAAUAUUGCACAAUGGGCGCAAGCCUGAUGCAGCCAUGCCGCGUGUAUGAAGAAGGCCUUCGGGUUGUAAAGUACUUUCAGCGGGGAGGCGUUACCCGCAGAAGAAGCACCGGCUAACUCCGUGCCAGCAGCCGCGGUAAUAC
rnacentral:rRNA from 1 species